UGAUUGAGCGGCCGAUAUCAGAUUAGCUAGUUGGUGAGGUAAAGGCUCACCAAGGCGACGAUCUGUAGCGGGUCUGAGAGGAUGAUCCGCCACACUGGAACUGAGACACGGUCCAGACUCCUACGGGAGGCAGCAGUGGGGAAUUUUGGACAAUGGGGGCAACCCUGAUCCAGCCAUGCCGCGUGAGUGAAGAAGGCCUUCGGGUUGUAAAGCUCUUUCGGCCGGGAAGAAAUCGUAUCAGCUAAUACCUGGUGCGGAUGACGGUACCGGCAUAAGAAGCACCGGCUAACUACGUGCCAGCAGCCGCGGUAAUACGUAGGGUGCGAGCGUUAAUCGGAAUUACUGGGCGUAAAGCGUGCGCAGGCGGUUUUGUAAGACAGGCGUGAAAUCCCCGGGCUCAACCUGGGAACUGCGUUUGUGACUGCAAGGCUAGAGUACGGCAGAGGGGGGUGGAAUUCCACGUGUAGCAGUGAAAUGCGUAGAGAUGUGGAGGAACACCAAUGGCGAAGGCAGC
rnacentral:rRNA from 1 species